rnacentral:rRNA from 1 species
UUAAAGGUGAUACCUGCCCAGUGAUUAAUCAAAUUUUAAUUUUAUUAAACGGAUGCGGUAACUCUGACUGUAAUAAAGUAGCAUAAUAAAUUGUCAUUUAAUUGAUGGAGAGUAUGAAUGGUAAAACGAGCUUUUCACUGUCUUAAAUAAAAUUUUUGAAAUUAAAAUAAUAGUGAAGAUUCUAUUUUAAAUCGUUAGACGAAAAGACCCUAUAGAGCUUUACUAUACUUAUUGGUAGUUUAGUUGGGGCGACUAAUUUUUAUAUAUAACAAAAUUAAGCAAAAUUAAUAAUAAUUUAUUGUAUAAUUUAUUUAUUUAACAAUUAUUAACAUAGGCUAUAAUGACCCGUUAUUUUAAUUUAAUAUAAUAACGAUUAAUUGAUAAAAGCUACCUUAGGGAUAACAGGAUAAUUUUAUUUUAGAGUUCUUAUCAAUUAUAAAGUUUGUCACCUCUAUGUUGAAUUAAGAUAUCCAAAUAAUGUAGAAGUUAUUAAGGGUAGGUCUGUUCG